rnacentral:piRNA from 1 species
UAGGACACGGGCUAUUGUGAGGC